rnacentral:lncRNA from 13 species
AAGGAUUCUUCUCUUUUUUUUUUAUCUGCUUAGAAGUUCCCUUGGAAGAAUGACUGCAGUGCUACAACAAUGUAACUGCAUGACAAAUCAUAAAGUUCCUGGUGUGGCUUCGCAUAAUUAAUAGCAUACAGAGAGGCCAUACUUCCCACCAUCGGCAUCCUCCAACCUUGGCAACCAAUGGCUGACACAGAGGUCUCAAAGCCUGACUCCCUUGGCUCAAAGAGACACGAUUCUGGUUUUGGUAUCAGGAUGAUGCUGGCUUCAUAAAAUGAGUUAUGGAGGAGUCCCACCUUUUCAUCUGUUUGGAAUAUUUUUAAAAUGAAUAAUACCAGCUUCUCUUUUUAUUUUUUCACAUCUGCAUUCUGAAAUUCAAGAUAUUUAAAAUUUGAUGAUUUAUUAAAUAAAUGGAAUGAGCGACAGAAAGAGUCCA